GGCUUGCAGCCGUUUAAAGUAGGCUAUAAGACAGGCUGUUCUUGUAAGGUUGUAGUUUGUGCAGGUAGCUUAAGGGUGAAGCAAACAAACGAUGGCAGGAGAAGUGGCCUCGUUCUCCGUGUGGGACUAUGUGGUGUUUGCAGGUAUACUUUUGGGGGCUUCUGGGAUUGGCCUCUGGCAGGCAAUUCGUGGUCGCAAGGAGAACACGAGUGAGGAGUUUCUACUGGGUGGCCGCCAAAUGCAUGCGGUGCCCGUUGCGAUGUCUCUUACCGCCAGCUUCAUGUCGGGCAUCACGGUGAUCGGCACGCCCGCCGAGUCUUAUCGUUAUGGCACGGCCUUCUGGCUCUUCGGCCUGAGCUACGCCAUCACGUCCAUCGUCACGGCGGAGAUCUUUGUCCCCUUCUUCUACCGACUGGGCAUCACCAGCAUCUAUGAGUACCUGGAGAUGCGCUUCAGUAAAAGUGUGCGUGUUUUGGCGACAAGCAUAUUUAUUAUGCAGACGGUCCUAUACACUGGUUUGGUCAUCUACGCUCCAGCUAUUGCACUCAACCAAAUCACUGGGCUGAACCUGUGGGGCGUGUUGGUGGUGACGGGUGCGGUGUGCAUCGUCUACUGUACCUUGGGCGGCCUGAAGGCUGUGAUCUGGACCGACGCGGUGCAGUUGGUCAUCAUGCUGUCAGGCUUUGCUGCAGUAAUCGCCAGGGGGGUGGUGCUCCAGGGAGACAUGGCCCGGAUAUGGCAGGACGCUGCCGACGGAGGACGGCUCGAAGCGUUUGAUUUUGACCCGGACCCACUGAAGCGCCACACCUUCUGGACCAUCCUGGUGGGGGGCAGCAUGAUCUGGAUCUCUGUGUACAGCAUCAACCAGUCCCAGGUGCAGCGCUACUUGGCCUGCAGGAGCGUGGCCCACGCCAAGACGUCCUUGUAUUUGAAUUACUUGGGCCUGUUGGCUACUGUGAGUCUGGCCAUGUUUUGUGGCCUCACCAUGUACUCUAUUUACAUGAAGUGUGAUCCCCUCACUAACGGUGAUGUAGGAUCCCCCGACCAGUUGCUUCCGUACCUUGUCAUGGAUAUCCUGGCAGACUACCCAGGAGUCCCUGGUUUUUUUGUGGCUGCAGCUUACAGUGGGACUCUCAGCACCGUGUCCUCCAGUAUUAAUGCACUCACGGCUGUCACACUGGAAGACUUUAUCCGACCUAAAUGGCGAAACCUGACAGAGAAGCAGUUGUCCUGGAUCAACAUGAGUCUCAGUGUGUUCUUUGGUGUGGUUUGUAUUGGAAUGGCUGGAGUUGCUUCGUUGAUGGGAAGUGUUCUGCAAGCUGCUCUGUCCAUCAUGGGGAUCAUUGGUGGGCCUCUUUUGGGACUGUUCUUCUUGGGAAUGCUUUUCCGCACAACAAACACCAUGGGGGGCCUACUGGGACUUCUUGUAGGCCUCAUAUUGACUAUGUGGGUGGGUAUCGGAGCCCAGAUCUAUCCCCCCGGAGCCGACAAAACCAAUCUUCUGCAAUUCAGCACCAACUGCAGUAAUUCACCGGGCGAUAAUAACAUGACCACUGAAUUUCCAUGGACCAGUGCCUUGACAUUGACCCGUGAACCACCGGUUAGGCCUCCUCUGGCUGACAGCUGGUACUCGCUGUCCUACCUGUACUUCUGUCCUCUGGGCACCCUGUGCACCGUGGUAGUUGGGCUGCUGGUCAGCAUCAUCACAGGUGGGUGUAAGCAGGAGAGGCUUGACAGUAGUCUGUUUGUGAGGAAGAGCGACCUGAUUUGUUUCAACUACUGUGGCAGUAGUUCUAAGACAUCAGACAUGGAGAAAGAGGACAAUGAGAAGACCAAGGACAAGUUUGAUGCAUAUGACAAGUUUGAUACAACGGAAAAAGAUGAGAAGAAAGUGACCAAAUUGUAAAAGGAAUUGAUCACUAUAUUGUGAAAGGGACAACCCUAACAAAAGUAUAUUUUAGCAUUAUUAUAACAGAGAUCCUUUUAGCCAAUUAAAUUAAAUGUGAACAACUGGCAGUUGUUAAGUGAAGACAGCAGUGAAUACCGCCUAAAUCUAAAUCUAAUUUAAAGUUAUUUUUGAACUAUGAAGUGUUUACACAUAUCUCAACAGAGUAUGCCCCAAUAUGCCAACCUCUUGGAACAGUGUCUUCGAAUAAUUGCUCCCUCGUAGAAAAAAAUGCAUAUGUAUUGUAAAAAAUAUAAAUAUUAUAAUACUAAAUGUUUAUUUAGUAUUUUAUGUUUAAAUAUUUAUUGUAAUAAUUAACUAUAUAUAAUUAUGGAGGUUGAAAAUUAAAAAUUAAAAAAAUAUGCAUUAUGCAAGAAAAGAGGGAAAGUGGGCCGGCUAGUGUAUCUAUCACUUGACAAGAGUGAACUGUCCAGUUCACAAUGUAUGCAUAUCAUGUAUGAGUAAUUGAGUGAAAGAAAACCAUGCUGGGAAUUAAUCCAGAUAAGAGAGACACAUAGGUGAACUGUAAUAACCUCGGGCCCUUAUCUCCUUGGCAACAUGCAAUGAAGGAAGUUACAAAGAAAUGACCCGCCCACUCCUACCUGCCAUUCUGCCAGGAAGAGACUGGCUGUACCUAGUGCGCAAGGAGUAGAGAGUAAACAAUGAUAGGACAGCGAUUGUGGAAACCAUUCUUUCUGUUCUCGUGUUAUGAACUACUAGAGAGCACACAAUGAACCAGGUCCUGGAGUCACAUGUUGCCUUGCUGGUAUGUUGCCUUCUCGCAUGUUCAUUUGCUGCAAUGACACCGGCGCCAAAGGAGGACUUGACGACAACAUUAGCCAGCUUUAAAGACACAACCUCUCAUACUACAGACGUCCCGAAUACAACAGUCUCUUCAAUGAGCAUCCCCAACAAUGCCACCCAGGGGUCUACAGCCGACAGCUCUGUCUCUUUCCAAAGCACUACCGAUCCUACCAGAAACUUAGAAUCGACUGCUUCUUCUAGCACCUCAAGCCAGGUUUCAACACGCAGGAGCACAACACAGCCUCCAGCCAGUAUCACCACCACCAGCCCAACCACAACCACCUUCAAAACGACAAACCCUGAGAGGGAAACUUCAACCUGGUCGCAACCAACAAGCCAAGCAACCCCACCAGCUGUGUUUCAUAGCACUUCACCUGCUGAUACUACAAAACAUUCCACACAAGCUGCCCCAGACAAUGUAACGCUAAUACGGCCUCCUGUCAUAGAAGGUUUGAACCUCAACACCUCAGAGAGGAAUAUGACGAUCGUCUUCAGCGUUGUGCUCGCAGGGUUUGUUUUGGGGUCCGUUAUAUAUCUUCUCCACAGAUGCAAACAGAGACUGCAAUAUUCCCAUCACCCCCUUCACAUGGAUCAAUUUCAGGCUGAUGACGACACGCUGGUAAUCUCGGGCGGACUUUAUGACGGACAUGCAUUAUUCGACCAACCACAACCCACUACAGAAGGAUCAGUCAACCUUCAGUUUAUCAAUGAGAGAGAGAGCUCCUACAUUAACUGAUGGCUCACUGAAAGUGAAGUAAGAUGAAGUUAUCUUUUUCAGAAUUGAGCUUUCAACAACUGUCAUCUUUGAAGUAUACUCUUGAUACAUUGGGGAAUAUAUUAUCAUUUAUUUAUAACGCUAACGAGAACAAUGCAGAAUCAGAGAAUUUUUAUAAUUGUAACAAUCUGUAAUACAAACAGCAAUGAAUUGAUCUAUUAUUAUCAUAAAAAAACACAACUUGAAAAGUACAUAACAUUUUGUGUGCAUGGUAAUGAAACGCAAAUGGAACAGCCAUGCUUGGCUAUGCAACAGCAUUCAUGAACACAGUCAUUGGUCAGUAUCCAACAAAUUCAUGAGAACUAAUACCUUAUUGAAAUGUCUAAAACGGCUUAAAGAUAAUGAAUACAAACUUAAACGUUCAUACAAAGCUAAAUCAGUUUUGAACAAACACUGAUACUGAUGACUAUGCUUACUAUGCUUUUGAACUUUCUGAGAUAUAAAAGCACUUUUUUAAGCAAAUAUUUUUUGAUCCACCUUCUUUUUCUUUUCGUCUGAGCUAGCGACAGUAAUCCAACCUGCAUCUCUCAUCCUUUUUAUCGCAGCAAUCUUCAGGGAGUUUCCAGGGGAUUUAUACACGGCAGGGCUUUUGUUCUAAAAUAAGGGUUGAUACAAUUUCAUUGAAAUGGGAUAAUACUUGAGAGGGAAAAUGCCUGCUAGAGCUUUCCAAUUGGAAAAUGUGGUCGAUAUUACCGUCUUGAGGGUGUGUCCUUUGCGCUGCUUUGCAGAGAAUCGUGGCUCAGGUUCAUCAGCAAAUGUCUAUCAAAAAGAAGGACAAUUAGCCCUCGUUCUUUCAUUAGUGUUACACUUGUCCUUUAUUUACCAUCUACCAUGGGGAAAUCUUACCAUGAGAUCAUUGGGCUCAGAACUGUCAGACUUGGGAUCGAGCUCCAGGGUGCCCCUUCCCCAAGGAGCUGACUUCUCCAAAGAUGGGGGGGUUCUGAUUCUGUAGGACUGUAGAAGAAUUCAAAGACAAACAAUCAUCAAAGCAAUCCCAAAUGUUUGAAGCUUAAAAGAGGCUGCAGAAACGUCAUUGGGUUUACCUUGAUUUUUGGUGUGGCUCCAAUCCUGCUUACGGUACCUGUGCUCCAAGAAGGUGUCUUGAUGAUCUCUUUUGAAAUGUCCUUAAAAAGAAGAAAUUUCAGUCUGAGUGAAUGCUACUGAGACUACUGAGGCUACUGGGCCUUGGGCCAUCAUACCUGAUGUUUUGGUGUCCGACCAGAUAUUUGUAUGGUGUUCCAAGAAGGAGUUUUCCUGUUUGAUUCCUUCAAAUUGAAAGUAAACAAACAUUCAGUGCUUUUGCUAAUGUUUAAAAAUAUAUUAUAUGAUAUAACAGCACUACAUCCACCAAGUCGUAUCCACUGCUAUAAAUUACAAAGACCAAAAGAAAGAAGCAAAAACAAAAAUCCUAAAGGCAUUAACUUUAUUAUAUUAUAAAGCUACCAUACAAAUACUAUACAAAAAGCAAUGCAACCUGGUCUUCACUGGUUCACCUGUAUUUUGGCAGUUGAGAAACCUCCAUUGUUGUUUUUGCAGCCUGCACUCUUGGUCUUUGGGAACGUUUCUUUCAAAAUGUCUACGUUUUCCUUUGGAACAGGUGACUAGAGAUGCAAUAAUAAAUGUUAUGAUCCCAACUAACACUACAACGACAACAACCAUAAGGAAUUUAUAUGAUGCUGCUCUUUGCCUCUGAUCGCUGACUGAUCUUUAAUGUGGAAAUGUCUUUCUUCAAUUCAUGCAACUCCAUCUGUAGCUGUUCCUAAUAGCAAAAAAAAAAAAAAAACUAUUACAAGUAAGUAGUAAAACUCAUGGUAUAUCGGGUUGCAUAUAGAAAUAGCGGAAAUGAAGCACACCGCCACGGCUCUUACUGUCUCUUUCAUGGCUUUCUUCAGAUUAUUUUUCAGGUCAUCAUUUUCGAUCUUAUUCUGGAAAAGCUCCAACUCCUAAAGACAAUAAUAAGACGUCGGCAAAAGGUGCUGUUAUAUUUUCCUAAAUCAAAAUAAAAUAGGUAUUUUAGAAUAGUACCAGUGAACUUUUUCGGGCAAAAGCCUCCUUCUGGGUAUUUUUUGUCUCCUCAAGCUCUGCAUCCUUUUCUUUAACCAUUUCAUCAUACUGGUUCUGAAAAUGACAAAAUAUGAUCAAAGAUGUUUCACAUGCUGAAGCUUUUUGAUGUUGAAGUUCCACUAAACCAUCGCAUACUCGUGUGAUUAUUUUACCUUGUGUUUUUCCAUUAGUGCGACCAUGUCGCCAAUCUUGUGUUGACAUUUGAGUUCCAAGUCCUCCUUGUUCUUGGUGACUUCUGAAGCUGUGAGCUUCAGUAUUUGCACCUAUACAAAGAAUGGCAUGUAUUUUUUGUUGAUGUCCAUAAUGAAAAAUGUAUUGUGUCUUCAUUGCAAGAUGGUAAUCACGUUCACCUCAUUUUCAAGCUCAGCUGCCAUAGUAGUUUUGACAUCAAGCUCUUCAAGCAAUCUUUUACGUUCUCCUUCGUUCUCUCUUUUCAUAUGUUCACAUUCCUCUUUUAGAUGAUUAAUCUAAAGCACAUGAUAUGUAUUGAUAUCAAUAAUUCGUAUUGAUGUUAGGAGCGACUCCAGCUAAAUUGACGUACUACGUACCUUAUCUUCAAGAUGACCACAUCUUUCAAUCUCUUUUGCCAUCUGUUUUUUAAGGGUUUUAUUCUAAAAUCAAACAAUUAAACGUUUAUCCUUGUAAAAACAUAUCUGUGUUUGUUUAUGUGUGUUUAUAACAACAACCAACCUCUGUGUUGCGUUCUUCCUGGGUCUUAGACUUAGCUUCAAAUUUUGCCUUGAGAUUGCACAGCUAAAUAAUACAAGAUGAAUGAAUGAAUUAAUGAAAAUUAAAUAAUUAAAUGAUAAAUUCCGAAGGUGAGCCCAAAAUCAGCCUUGAUCGGUACCUUUGCUUCCAUCACUUUAUACUGCUUCUCUUUUUUGGUUAUUUUAUCCUGCAAGUUGUCAUCCUAUAAAUAUGAAUCAUAUUUGAUGUUAACAGUUUCCAAAACUUUACAAGCAUUUUAUUUUUGCAAUAUUUGUUCAAGCAUGUGUUAGGAGGCUUACACUUUGCAAUAAUUGAUUCUCCAGAUCUGCCGUUUUUUUAAAUUGCUCCUGAAUUUGGAUAUUCAACGAAGAAACUUCCUCUCUAAUGAAUACAAAUGUAAAAUAUAUUACAAAUCCAUAACAAUAUCUGGCAUUCAAUAGUUAUAAAAGUGAAAUACUUAAAUAUGUAGAUGUAUAAAUUACAAACUUACCGUAAAUGUUGGUUUUUGUCUUCUAAUCCUUCGACUUCUCUUGUGAUGUCCAUCUCCCUUUCCUCACUAGCCUGUUAGAUAAAGCAUAACCAUAUUUGAAUUUUUUUCAACAUUUUAGUUCAAGUAGAAGAUUUUCAAUAUAUAUUCUCAGAAGGUAAUUCAGGACACCAUCCUUUGUGCAGACCUUCAAUUUUUCUUCUAGCUUCAUGUGCACAUCAUUAUACCUUGAUAACAGCUCUCCAUACCUUAUUCUGUAGAACAAAACAUAAACGUGUUAUUUAAUGCAAACAAAUGUAAUGAUGGACUGGACAUAAAAACUCACUCAUGUUGAAUAAUGUCCUUUUUUUGUUGUUCCAUAUGAAAGGUUGAUGCUUGUCUUUGCUCUAGC